UACGGAGGGUGCGAGCGUUAAUCGGAAUUACUGGGCGUAAAGCGCACGCAGGCGGCUUGUUAAGCUAGAGGUGAAAGCCCGCGCCUCAACGUGGGAACUGCCUUUAGAACUGGCAGCUAGAGUCUUGGAGAGGGAGUGGAUCCAGGUGUAGCGGUGAAAUGCGUAGAUAUCUGGAGAACAUCA
rnacentral:rRNA from 1 species